rnacentral:rRNA from 1 species
CCUACGGGGGGCAGCAGUGGGGAAUAUUGGACAAUGGGGGGAACCCUGAUCCAGCCAUGCCGCGUGUGUGAAGAAGGCCCUCGGGUUGUAAAGCACUUUCAGUGAGGAAGAACGCCUGGUGGUUAAUACCCAUCAGGAAAGACAUCACUCACAGAAGAAGCACCGGCUAACUCCGUGCCAGCAGCCGCGGUAAUACGGAGGGUGCGAGCGUUAAUCGGAAUUACUGGGCGUAAAGCGCGCGUAGAUGGCUUGAUAAGCCGGUUGUGAAAGCCCCGGGCUCAACCUGGGAACGGCAUCCGGAACUGUCAAGCUAGAGUGCAGGAGAGGAAGGUAGAAUUCCCGGUGUAGCGGUGAAAUGCGUAGAGAUCGGGAGGAAUACCAGUGGCGAAGGCGGCCUUCUGGACUGACACUGACACUGAGGUGCGAAAGCGUGGGUAGCAAACAGGAUUAGAUACCCGGGUAGUC